UACGUAGGUGGCAAGCGUUGUCCGGAAUUAUUGGGCGUAAAGCGCGCGCAGGCGGUUAUGUAAGUCUGAUGUAUAAACUCAAGGCUCAACCUUGGGGUGCAUUGGAAACUGGAUGACUGGAGUGUAGGAGAGGGAAGUGGAAUUCCACGUGUAGCGGUGAAAUGCGUAGAGAUGUGGAGGAACACCGAUGGCGAAGGCAGCCCCCUGGGCCAAUACUGACGCUCAUGCACGAAAGCGUGGGGAGCAAACAGG
rnacentral:rRNA from 1 species